GAAGAAGAAGAAGAGGAAGAAGAAGAAGAGGAAAAAGUCAUCGCUCUCUUCUCUCUAUCUCUUUUUUACUAAUUUUCUUUCUUUCUCUCUUU
rnacentral:ribozyme from 1 species